UGAAAAAUGCUUACAGUGUAGGAAGAGAGAUUUAUUUAGUAAUAUCAGAGUAUGUGCUGGAGGCUCAGGGAACUUUGGGAGACUUCUUCAAGAACAAAA